rnacentral:rRNA from 1 species
CACCGGCGGCUCGAGUGGUAACCGUUAUUAUUGGGUCUAAAGGGUCUGUAGCCGGCCGGAUAAGUCUCUUGAGAAAUCUGGCAGCUUAACAGUCAGGCUUUCAGGAGAUACUGUCUGGCUCGAGGCCGGGAGAGGUGAGAGGUACUUCAGGGGUAGGGGUGAAAUCUUGUAAUCCUUGAAGGACCACCAGUGGCGAAGGCGUCUCACCAGAACGGACCUGACGGCAAGGGACGAAAGCUAGGGGCACGAACCGGAUUAGAUACCCUGGUAGUCCCUGAGCGGG